rnacentral:misc_RNA from 1 species
AUAUGGUCCCGUGAUGCUUCUCCAACUUGGUCGUGUGCCAGUACUUAUUGUCUCCUCUGCAGAUGCAGCCAAGGAGGUCUUGAAAACCCAUGACAUCGAUACUUGCAGUAGACCUCUCCUGGCUGGUACUGGAAAGCUAUCCUACAAUUAUCUUGAUGUAGCAUUCACUCCCUAUGGAGAUUACUGGAGAGAAAUGCGAAAGAUUUGUGUUCUUGAGCUGUUCAGUGCCAAGAGAGUGCAGUCAUUUCAAUUCGUUAGAGAAGAAGAGAUUGAUUUGCUUAUCGAUUCCAUCUCCAAAUCUUCUUCCUCUGCCA